AGCGAACGCUGGCGGCAGGCCUAACACAUGCAAGUCGAACGAACUCUUCGGAGUUAGUGGCGGACGGGUGAGUAACACGUGGGGACGUGCCUUUUGGUUCGGAAUAACUCAGGGAAACUUGUGCUAAUACCGAAUGUGCCCUUCGGGGGAAAGAUUUAUCGCCAUUAGAGCGGCCCGCGUCUGAUUAGCUAGUUGGUGAGGUAACGGCUCACCAAGGCGACGAUCAGUAGCUGGUCUGAGAGGAUGACCAGCCACACUGGGACUGAGACACGGCCCAGACCCCUACGGGAGGCAGCAGUGGGGAAUCUUGCGCAAUGGGCGAAAGCCUGACGCAGCCAUGCCGCGUGAAUGAUGAAGGUCUUAGGAUUGUAAAAUUCUUUCACCGGGGACGAUAAUGACGGUACCCGGAGAAGAAGCCCCGGCUAACUUCGUG
rnacentral:rRNA from 1 species